AUUGAACGCUGGCGGCAGGCCUAACACAUGCAAGUCGAGCGGAUGAAGGGAGCUUGCUCCUGGAUUCAGCGGCGGACGGGUGAGUAAUGCCUAGGAAUCUGCCUGGUAGUGGGGGAUAACGUCCGGAAACGGGCGCUAAUACCGCAUACGUCCUGAGGGAGAAAGUGGGGGAUCUUCGGACCUCACGCUAUCAGAUGAGCCUAGGUCGGAUUAGCUAGUUGGUGGGGUAAAGGCCUACCAAGGCGACGAUCCGUAACUGGUCUGAGAGGAUGAUCAGUCACACUGGAACUGAGACACGGUCCAGACUCCUACGGGAGGCAGCAGUGGGGAAUCUUGGACAAUGGGCGAAAGCCUGAUCCAGCCAUGCCGCGUGUGUGAAGAAGGUCUUCGGAUUGUAAAGCACUUUAAGUUGGGAGGAAGGGCAGUAAGUUAAUACCUUGCUGUUUUGACGUUACCAGCAGAAUAAGCCCCGGCUAACUUCGUG
rnacentral:rRNA from 1 species